AACAGCCACCAGGAGAUGCUGUCCUUGUCUGCAAGAGAACCCCUCAGGAAUGCAGCCGGGCUGUGAUCCUUCCUAGAGACAGGGCCAAGAACACGAAGACCAGAGUGCCCCAGCCCAGGGGAAGCUGGAGGGAUGGGACCUGCUUUGGUGAUGGCAGCUAGGCAGCAGGUUAAUAACAUGGAACUGAAUAAGAAAAGAAAGCAGUGUGACUGGGACUUAUAAUGUGACAUUUAAUGAUUUCACUCACCAAGAAUUUAAAUAUCACUUACCCAAAGGACAGGGUGAACCAAACGAUGCAUAACCAAGAAGUGGCUUGCCGACAAAUCCCACAGGUGGCCAUGAUUGACUGAGCAUUAACACCGAUUCCUCAGUCUCUCAAGGGAAAUAAAUGGCAGAAGCUCAGCAUGAAAAGUUGCAUCUAUGACUUAAGGUAGUCACUUUUUGCUAAGAAAAAGAGCUACCAAAACAGGUAAAGCAGUGUUUGCAUCAAAGAGAAUGAAUCCUGAAAAGAGGAAAAAAGGAAGAACAGCUCCUUUGUGGCCCUGGCCCCCCUCCCCCUGUUAAUCUACACUGACUGAGUUUUGACCCACCUGAGAGGACAUAGAAAUGUGCACCCUUUACCCUGGUCUGGGUUCGAGCAGGUUUUUCUGGGGAGCCUGCCAACAUCCCAGAUGGCAUCCUCCAUAUCCGGGUACCUAGGCUGGGUUUUGACAGAAAGGAUUUGGGGACCCUAAGCAUCUUUCAAAUUGGAUCAGGUAGGUAGUAGUCUCUCUUUGGCUCUGUGAACAAAGGUGUCUAUUUCUGGGUUAAAUAUGGAAUUUCAAAUAUAAUCAGUUCAAAAUAAUCCAUGUAGGCAUUAUUCUGUAAUAUUCUGGUUGUUUUAUUUUUUUAUAUCACAAGCUUUUUUUUUUUAAAUCAGUACUGAGGGAUGAACCCAGAGGUGCUUUACCCCUGAGCCAGCUCCCCAGCCCUUUUUGUUUUGAGAUAGGGUCUUGUAAAAUUGCGGAUGCUGGCUUCAAAUUUACCAUCCUCUGUUUUAGUCUCCCAAGUAUCUGGGAUUAUAGGCUUACACCACUGAGCCUGGCAAAGAAUGUUCUCAUCAUUCAACAUUUUUCUUUUGAGAGACUUCCACUUCUCCAGUCAUCAGCCUUUGAUCAUUCAUGCAUUCACUGGCAGCUACUGGGGUCAGACAUGAAGCAUCAUAGCCUCCAAGCGAUUACCACGUAAGAGUGAAAGCAUUCACGUGGAGGUCUGUCUAGAAUGAGAAAAAUACUGCUCAGAACAUCCAGUUUGACCUGAAAAUUAGAAAGAAGGCUUCACGGACUCCAGAAGUUGAACUGAGGUGGACAGAGAAGUAUAAUAUUUUCCAAAUGAAUAAACUGGAGGAAGAACGUGCAAACAACGUUUGGAGAUAUGAGGGAACAUAGUGCAGAGGGAACAGCCUGAGGCAUGUGAGGUUGAAUGGCAAACCUGAGGAACUGAAAGAUGAGGGUAUCUGUCGAAAGGACCCAAAAAAUAGGAGGGUCUCAUCCUUGUCAACCUUGUCAACAUUGAGGAUUUCUGUCUUUAUCCUGAGAACAAUGCGAAGUCAGUACAGUGUGAAAUUGGGGUACAUCUUAUAUAUCUUUGUGCUCAUGUGCAUAGAUGUAUAAUAAAGUGAGAUCUAUUUUAGAAAUAAGUUUCUUGAUUGUUUCAUAUCUUAUGUUCAUAGCAAGCCACAACAAGUUGUAGCCACAUAUUUGGAUUACUUUUCUCAGGUUUCCCACAAGAUUACCUUCCUUUACCAAAUUCUGAUUAGUUAUUGACUUAAAAAAUGGUCACGUGUAAAAUAUUUGCCUUUAUGUAAAAGUUGUAUUGAAGAUAACAUCUCUUACAUUGUUCAGUAUUCCUUAUAAUAGAAUUUAUUGUAAACUCUUCACAAGUUAGAACUAAAGUUGACUUUUCUUUGAAAACAAAUGCAUUGCCAUUUACUUUAUAUCAAAAACUGUGUAAUCUACCAGGGGUGAGGGUAGGGAAAAUGGAACUAUCAAGGAAGGAAAUUGACCAAAUUAUGUUAUGUGUGUGAACAAAUAUGUAAUAACAACUCCCACUAUUAUGUACAAUUAUAAUGUACUAAUGAAAAAAAAAAAAACAGAAAGGCACUCUUAUGCAAUCUAUUAAAUCUGUCUUUUGCCUUGGUUGUCAGAAAACCCAGAGAGUAGUUUCUUGCUUACUUACACUGCUUUGAUACUCUAAUAUAAUUGUUUUCUCAUUUAUUACUGGAUUUUAAAAAAAACUUUUAGUAAAUAACUUUGAAAUUUUACUAAGUUUCUUAAUGGUUUCUUAGGGCCUCAGAACUAGGAAGGAUAAUUCUUGACAUAUUGGAGAAAACACUAUGGGGUUCCUGUGAAUGUCUGCCUUUGGAGGGGUUGUAUGUCACUGGAAAAUGUCCUGAAACCUAGAGACCAGAAGUAUUACUGGGUAUUUAGUGCCACUGUG